CGGACCGGCGCACGGUGAGUAACGCGUAUGCAACUUACCUAUCAGGAGGGGAUAACCCGGCGAAAGUCGGACUAAUACCGCAUGAAGCAGGGGCCCCGCAUGGGGAUAUUUGCUAAAGAUUCAUCGCUGAUAGAUAGGCAUGCGUUCCAUUAGGCAGUUGGCGGGGUAACGGCCCACCAAACCGACGAUGGAUAGGGGUUCUGAGAGGAAGGUCCCCCACAUUGGUACUGAGACACGGCCAA
rnacentral:rRNA from 1 species